rnacentral:tRNA from 1 species
UAGCUAAGUUGGUAAAGAAUCUGCCUGCAAUGCAGGAGACCCGGGUUCAAUCCCUGG